UGGGCCCUUCGGGGAGUGCAGACGGGUGAGUAACGCGUGGGAAUUUACCCAGCUCUACGGAACAACUCAGGGAAACUUGAGCUAAUACCGUAUACGCCCUUUUGGGGAAAGAUUUAUCGGAGUUGGAUGAGCCCGCGUUUGAUUAGCUAGUUGGUGGGGUAAUGGCCUACCAAGGCGACGAUCAAUAGCUGGUCUGAGAGGAUGAUCAGCCACACUGGGACUGAGACACGGCCCAGACUCCUACGGGAGGCAGCAGUAGGGAAUAUUGGACAAUGGGCGCAAGCCUGAUCCAGCCAUGCCGCGUGAGUGAUGAAGGCCCUAGGGUUGUAAAGCUCUUUCAACGGUGAAGAUAAUGACGGUAACCGUAGAAGAAGCCCCGGCUAACUUCGUGCCAGCAGCCGCGGUAAUACGAAGGGGGCUAGCGUUGUUCGGAUUUACUGGGCGUAAAGCGCACGUAGGCGGAUCGUUAAGUGAGGGGUGAAAUCCCAGGGCUCAACCCUGGAACUGCCUUUCAUACUGGCGAUCUGGAGUUCGAGAGAGGUGAGUGGAAUUCCGAGUGUAGAGGUGAAAUUCGUAGAUAUUCGGAGGAACACCAGUGGCGAAGGCGGCUCACUGGCUCGAUACUGACGCUGAGGUGCGAAAGCGUGGG
rnacentral:rRNA from 1 species